GAUGAAGAACGUAGUGAAAUGCGAUACGUAAUGUGAAUUGCAGAAUUCAGUGAAUCAUCGAGUCUUUGAACGCACAUUGCGCCCCCUGGUAUUCCGGGGGGCAUGCCUGUCCGAGCGUCAUUGCUGCCCUCAAGCACGGCUUGUGUGUUGGGCCUCCGUCCUCCUCCCGGGGGACGGGCCCGAAAGGCAGCGGCGGCACCGCGUCCGGUCCUCGAGCGUAUGGGGCUUCGUCACCCGCUCUUGUAGGCCCGGCCGGCGCUUGCCGACACAUCAAUCUUUUUUCCAGGUUGACCUCGGAUCAGGUAGGAUUACCCGCUGAACUUAAGCAUAUCAUAAGCGGAGGA
rnacentral:misc_RNA from 1 species